UCGGGAAUAUUGCGCAAUGGAGGAAACUCUGACGCAGUGACGCCGCGUGCAGGAAGAAGGUUUUCGGAUUGUAAACUGCUUUAGACAGGGAAGAAACGAGACAGUACCUGUAGAAUAAGCUCCGGCUAACUACGUGCCAGCAGCCGCGGUAAUACGUAGGGAGCAAGCGUUAUCCGGAUUUAUUGGGUGUAAAGGGUGCGUAGACGGGAAUGCAAGUUGGUUGUGAAAUCCCUCGGCUCAACCGAGGAAUUGCAACCAAAACUAUAUUUCUUGAGUGCUGGAGAGGAAAGUGGAAUUCCUAGUGUAGCGGUGAAAUGCGUAGAUAUUAGGAGGAACACCAGUGGCGAAGGCGACUUUCUGGACAGUAACUGACGUUGAGGCACGAAAGUGUGGGGAGCAAAUAGGAUUAGAUACCC
rnacentral:rRNA from 1 species